rnacentral:rRNA from 1 species
AACGCGAAGAACCUUACCAGGCCUUGACAUCCCCUUGACCGGUACAGAGAUGUACCUUCCCUUCGGGGCAAGGGUGACAGGUGGUGCAUGGUUGUCGUCAGCUCGUGUCGUGAGAUGUUGGGUUAAGUCCCGCAACGAGCGCAACCCUUAGCUUUAGUUGCCAGCACCUCGGGUGGGCACUCUAGAGCGACUGCCGGUGACAAACCGGAGGAAGGUGGGGAUGACGUCAAAUCAUCAUGCCCCUUAUGGCCUGGGCUACACACGUACUACAAUGGCCGGUACAACGGGCUGCGAAAGAGCGAUCUGGAGCGAAUCCCACCAAAGCCGGCCUCAGUUCGGAUUGCAGGCUGCAACUCGCCUGCAUGAAGUCGGAAUUGCUAGUAAUCGCGGAUCAGCAUGCCGCGGUGAAUACGUUCCCGGGCCUUGUACACACCGCUACAGU